AACGAACGCUGGCGGCAGGCCUAACACAUGCAAGUCGAGCGCCCCGCAAGGGGAGCGGCGGUCGGGUGAGUAACGCGUGGGAACGUGCCUCUUGCUACGGAAUAGCCUCGGGAAACUGGGAGUAAUACCGUAUGUGCCCUACGGGGGAAAGAUUUAUCGGCAAGAGAUCGGCCCGCGUUGGAUUAGGUAGUUGGUGGGGUAAUGGCCUACCAAGCCGACGAUCCAUAGCUGGUUUGAGAGGAUGAUCAGCCACACUGGGACUGAGACACGGCCCAGACUCCUACGGGAGGCAGCAGUGGGGAAUCUUAGACAAUGGGCGCAAGCCUGAUCUAGCCAUGCCGCGUGAGCGAUGAAGGCCUUAGGGUUGUAAAGCUCUUUCAGUGGGGAAGAUAAUGACUGUACCCACAGAAGAAGCCCCGGCUAACUCCGUGCCAGCAGCCGCGGUAAAGUACAGUGU
rnacentral:rRNA from 1 species